CCUCUCUGUGCUCUGGCAAUCACACAGAUCCAGCUCGUGCUUGGCACACUCUCAUGGGAGAGAGAAAAUGGCCUUCCCGAUGCACAGUAGACCUGCCCCAAAGUGGCUUCUUUGUUGUUCCUAGGAGUGUCACAGCU